rnacentral:rRNA from 1 species
GACGAACGCUGGCGGCGUGCCUAACACAUGCAAGUUGAACGGGACCCAGGGGGCAACUCUGGUUCAGUGGCGGACGGGUGCGUAACACGUGAGGAACAUGCCUAUCGGCGGGGGGAUAGCCGGCCCAACGGCCGGGUAAUACCCGCGUACGACCUUCAGGUGGCAUCAUCUGGGGUGAAAGCAGCAAUGCACCGAUAGAGUGCCUCGCGGCCUAUCAGCUAGUUGG